rnacentral:rRNA from 1 species
UCUGUAGGUGGCACUUCAAGUCUGCUGUCAAAGACCGAAGCUUAACUUCGGGAAGGCGGUGGAAACUGAAGAGCUAGAGGUAAGCAGGGGUAGAGGGAAUUCCCAGUGUAGCGGUGAAAUGCGUAGAGAUUGGGAAGAACACCAGUGGCGAAGGCGCUCUACUGGGCUUUAACUGACACUGAGAGACGAAAGCUAGGGUAGCGAAAG